rnacentral:rRNA from 1 species
ACCGGCGCACGGGUGCGUAACGCGUAUGCAACUUGCCCCUAACUGAGGGAUAGCCCAGAGAAAUUUGGAUUAAUACCUCAUAAUAUUUUCCCAAGGCAUCUUGGGAUUCUUAAAGGUUACGGUUAGGGAUAGGCAUGCGUCCUAUUAGCUAGUUGGUGAGGUAAAAGCUCACCAAGGCAACGAUAGGUAGGGGGUCUGAGAGGAUUAUCCCCCACACUGGUACUGAGACACGGACCAGACUCCUACGGGAGGCAGCAGUGAGGAAUAUUGGUCAAUGGACGAAAGUCUGAACCAGCCAUGCCGCGUGCAGGAUGACGGCCCUAUGGGUUGUAAACUGCUUUUAUAUAGGAAUAAACCUCCCUACGUGUAGGGAGCUGAAGGUACUAUACGAAUAAGGACCGGCUAACUCCGUGCCAGCAGCCGCGGUAAUACGGAGGGUCCAAGCGUUAUCCGGAUUCAUUGGGUUUAAAGGGUCCGCAGGCGGGAAAUUAAGUCAGUGGUGAAAGCCUACAGCUCAACUGUAGAACUGCCAUUGAUACUGAUUUUCUUGAAUUUAGAUGAAGUGGGCGGAAUGUGUCAUGUAGCGGUGAAAUGCAUAGAUAUGACACAGAACACCGAUUGCGAAGGCAGCUCACUAAACUAAUAUUGACGCUCAUGGACGAAAGCGUGGGGAGCGAACAGGAUUAGAUACCCUGGUAGUCCACGCCGUAAACGAUGAUUACUCGGUGCUAGCGAUAUACUGUUAGUGCCUAACCGAAAGUGAUAAGUAAU